rnacentral:lncRNA from 1 species
AUGAGACAUGCUCUUCAAGUUGUGCUGGUUGAUGCAGAACAGAAGCAGUUCAAGGAUCUUCAUGUUAAACAACGGCUUGAAGACUUAAAAGAUGCAAUAUUUUAUGUUGAAGAUUUGCUCAACUUAAUCAGCUACGAGGACUUUGAUGUUGUGAGAGUAACCAAGUCUCUCCUUGAAUCUGUUGUUAGAAAUACAACAUCUGCUACUUCAAAGGUCUGGGAAAGCGAUAAUCUUGAUAUUCUUCGAGUUGAAUUAAAGAAAAACUCGAGGGAGAAAUGA